rnacentral:rRNA from 1 species
GAAGGAUCAUUAUUGAAAUGCUUGGUUAGGUUGUUGCUGGCUCUUUUGAAGGGGCAUGUGCACACCCAAUACCAAUCUUUUUACCACCUGUGCACCUUUUGUAGACUUGGAAUACUUCUCGAGGCAACUCGGUUUGAGGAAUUGCUAUUAUCAGCUUUCCUUGUAAUUCCAAGUCUAUGUUUUAUAUAUACCCCUAUUAGUAUGUCUUUGAAUGUAUUCAUUUUAAUCGGCUUUUUAUGCCUUUUAAACCUUAUACAACUUUCAACAACGGAUCUCUUGGCUCUCGCAUCGAUGAAGAACGCAGCGAAAUGCGAUAAGUAAUGUGAAUUGCAGAAUUCAGUGAAUCAUCGAAUCUUUGAACGCACCUUGCGCUCCUUGGUAUUCCGAGGAGCAUGCCUGUUUGAGUGUCAUGAAUUUCUCAACCUCUUUAACCUUUUUGGUUGACUAGGCUUGGAUUGUGGGAGUCUGCGGGCUUCUGAAGAAGUCAGCUCUCCUUAAAUGCAUUAGCAGGGACCUUUUGGUUGUCUAAGGAUUGGUGUGAUAAUUAUCGACGCCAUUGAUCAAGCAACUACAAAAUGGAUGGGUCUUGGCUUCUAACUGUGUCGUCACCUUUCGGGGGGGAGACAAUUUCUGACAAUUUGACCU